CCACAAUUAUUUGUUAUUAAUAAGAACUCUACAACCGAAUAUCUUUUUGUUUGUGAAAUUAAUGGAUCCAAAUUUAUUGCUUUGCUCAUCGUAUUCAUUUAUUAAUGUUUUUACUAUUUCUGUGGACCGUCUGAUCCCAUUCCCAUCUGAUUCGCAGUUUAGAUCGCUAGUAUUAUAGCCUUCUAAAACAAAAACGUUUAUAAAAUUUGGUACUUUCAAAUUAACAUUUUAUUAAAAUAACUUAAAUUUUUUUUCAUUAUUAGUUUAUCUUCAGUCUCAUUCAAUAUAUUUUUGAUUUUUCAUAUGAACAUCUUUCAUAUGCAUUUCUAUUUUUUCCUUUCUGAAAUCGGUUAAUUCAUAAUGUGCACAUUUGAACAUCAGCGCUGCUCCUCCAUCUUGAUAUACGAAAUGCACAAUCUUUUCCUUUGGGCUUCAUGAGCGCGCCCGUGCAGGAGUCUCGGAAAACUCGGGUUAAUUUUGGACAAGUUUAGCACGAUCGUACAACUGAGACGUGCACGGAACGAAUUUUUAAACACACCCAUUGCUUCCUCUGUUUCAAUUUUGAAGUUACUAUUACAAUUAGUAACAUAGAAAUACCUUAAGAAUCAACCAUUAAAUCUUGGAACAGGUCUGUAAGCUCUUUACUUAUAACGGAAACUUUUUAACAAAAGAUAACUUUUUUCUUUGUAACUGUAGAAACAAAAACUCGACAAAGUACGCCAAACCCAACUAAACCUACCAACAGACCACGUGAUUUUGAAUAUACAAGCACACACUACCGGCAAAAAUAAAAAACUGCUUAGGAUGGUCCAAAUAUCGGCGGAUCGGCGAAGCUGGGACAAGCAUUUAGUUCCUUCUCUCCAACGUUGCUGCAGCAGCGAAGUAUCCGAGAGUUUUCUGUCAGUACACUGUCUAGACCUGUACAGUCACAUAGCGAAGUUGUCUGUCAGUACCUGUACACAUGUUAAUUAAGAAAUAAUCCAAUAUUAUAAGUAUAAUAUUUAUUUACUAUGAUAUAUAUGAGUUUUAUAUUUGUAUUCUAUAACAUAACGCAAAAAUAUAACUCAUAUACAACACAUAGAAGGAACCGAAUAAUAUUUUCAUUUUAUUAUAUCUAAUAGGGUGUUUAGAUUUUUGGCUGUCUGAGUUACAGUUUGCAUCUUAUAUCGUUUCCGUGCUGUACCAUCUGUCUGGUUUAGUUCUUGGUGUAGUCGUUUACGUGUAUCCGGGUCUUGUAUAGUUGUUGCUACGAUAUGGCGAUAAUUUAUCAUAUUCAAUGUCAUUCCUUUAAUGUUAUGUUUUUUAAUGUUCUACGGAUGAAUUGCAGAGGAUUAAUUACUGGUGUACCUGAAGGUGUCAAGAGAUAAUUAUUAUAACUUUUGUCAAAUGGACGGAUAUUGUCGUAGUAGAAUUGAAAGAUUAACUGUUCUGUGUUACGGCAUAACAGAAUGCCAGCCAUACCGGUUUCCUGUGAUUUGAUAUCGCUUACGUGGAAGUUAUAGUUAUGUUGUCCUGCUUUGAAUUCUUCUAAAGUGAAAUUGAUGACAACCUGUGGUCUAUGUCCGAACUUCAGGAUCUUGCCUGCGAUAUAUGUAAUAAAUAAAUUAAUCUCUUCUGUGGAAUCAGGAAUACUAUUGGUUAGUGUAGGUGUAAUUAAGGUCUCUACAUCGUUCAGCCAGGCAAAGAUUUCAUCGGAUGUGUGUGUCAUUCUUAUAUAUUUAUGGCGAUUAACUACAUUCUUGCUUCUUUGGGUGAUUGAUGAUCGUUUUGUAUAAUCGUCUAACACUAUUUGUAAAUUGUUGAAGCUGUUUUCGGUUAUCCUUUUUGUUUUAUAUAAAAAUGCAUUGUACUGCUCGACACCUGUUAACCAAGCUGUAAGUGAUUCUCCCUUUAUACCCAGACUGAUUAGUUUAUCAAACGAUUUCUCUGUUUUGUCGCUAUUGAAUAGGUCAUUGCAAUUUAUCUCACCAACAUUGCCAACCAGAUAA
rnacentral:lncRNA from 1 species